AACUCGACUACANGAAGCUGGAAUCGCUAGUAAUCGCAAAUCAGAAUGUUGCGGUGAAUACGUUCCCGGGUCUUGUACACACCGCCCGUCACACCAUGGGAGUCGGAAAUGCCCGAAGUCUGUGACCCAACGAAAGAGGGAGCAGCCGAAGGCAGGUCUGAUAACUGGGGUGAAGUCGUAACAAGGUAAC
rnacentral:rRNA from 1 species